UACGUAGGGUGCGAGCGUUGUUCGGAAUUAUUGGGCGUAAAGGGCGCGUAGGCGGUGCGGUAAGUCACCUGUGAAAUCUCCUGGCUCAACUGGGAGCUUGCAGGCGAAACUGCCGUGCUGGAGUGUGGGAGAGGUGGCGUGGAAUUCCUGGUGUAGCGGUGAAAUGCGUAGAUAUCAGGAGGAACACCUGCGGUGUAGACGGCUUUCUGGACCAUUGCUGACGCUGAGACACGAAAGCGUGGGUAGCAAACAGG
rnacentral:rRNA from 1 species